AUCCACUAGGCAUAGCUACCAGGUAACUCGGGAGAGUGGAAGGCCAAAGUGCCGAUGAAACUCUUUUGCUCUGGGCCUAUCUGAAACCCCCAGACCAGACUCCAUCUUGUGAACUCUCAUCUACUUCUGUGCUAACUGCUUACAUGUCAAAGCAGAAAUGUAUUGGUCAGCGUUUCUGGCAGAUGGCUGCAGUUUCACUCACACUAGCAGAAAUAAUAGAGAUAAGGAGGAGGGAACAGAGAGAGAUAGUUAGUUUGCAGUUGCUUUCCCAUAUAUCCCCAAGGUAUUUAGUGCAAAGGGUCAAGGGAUGUACCUUGUUUUCCCUUCAAAAUGACAAAUGUAUCCGCAACAGAUGUCUUUUGUAUCCCCCCUCCCCAAAAUAAUAUAUGUAUCCUGUGUAACCUAUUAUCUAUCAGUCAGCAUAAUGAUGCAAAAGAAUGAAUGCUAAGUUGUUUGUCUCUCUGUAUAAAAGAAGCUCAGUUGUGCUUGUAAGGUGUGUCUCUUCUGGCAUAAGUCGAGGAGCACCCUCUCAGCUGACUGACAAAUAAAGGACCUGGUACCCGUCUUCUUGUCUCUCCGUGCCUCCUUGGUGUAAAUAGGCACACCAAAGAUUCACAGCCUCUUCUGCUGAAUACUCUGGGUCCACUCCCUUCAGCCUGGUGACUCCGUUCUCGUGCGAACCUGGAAGGACGAGCCUCUCCAAGAAAAGUGGAAGGGACCCCACACCAUCCUGCUUGUCACCCAUACAGUGGCAAAGGUCGAAGGACACAAGAACUGGAUUCAUCACUCUCGACUGAAAGCAGUGCCCACUCCUGAACAGUGGACUGUCCAGCCUGCGGAGAAGACUGCUAACGACGAUUUGGGACUUAGGCUGCUAUUCAAAAGACAGUAAGGGUCGCUGGGAGUGCGUUGUGAUCUUUCUGAAUAGUCACGGCAUACUCCCCGCGAGAACCCUGAGCAUUGGUUUUAUUUUCAUUGAUAAUCCUGAUUGCAUGGAGCUUAAUCGCAUUUUGUCUUUAGAGUAUGAGAAAACUCUGACAAAGGUUUGUUGAGUGUUCUCAAAGGGGGGAUUGUUGGGAUCCACUAGGCAUAGCUACCAGGUAACUCGGGAGAGUGGAAGGCCAAAGUGCCGAUGAAACUCUUUUGCUCUGGGCCUAUCUGAAACCCCCAGACCAGACUCCAUCUUGUGAACUCUCAUCUACUUCUGUGCUAACUGCUUACAUGUUAAAGCAGAAAUGUAUUGGUCAGCGUUUCUGGCAGAUGGCUGCAGUUUCACUCACACUAGCAGAAAUAAUAGAGAUAAGGAGGAGGGAACAGAGAGAGAUAGUUAGUUUGCAGUUGCUUUCCCAUAUAUCCCCAAGGUAUUUAGUGCAAAGGGUCAAGGGAUGUACCUUGUUCUCCCUUCAAAAUGACAAAUGUAUCCGCAACAGAUGUCUUUUGUAUCCCCCCUCCCCAAAAUAAUAUAUGUAUCCUGUGUAACCUAUUAUCUAUCAGUCAGCAUGAUGCAAAAGAAUGAAUGCUAAGUUGUUUGUCUCUCUGUAUAAAAGAAGCUCAGUUGUGCUUGUAAGGUGUGUCUCUUCUGGCAUAAGUCGAGGAGCACCCUCUCAGCUGACUGACAAAUAAAGGACCUGGUACCCGU